GUCUUCUACAAUUGACAUCUGCAUGCUAAAUAAAACCAUUUAUAAAAUUAAUAUUAGAUGCAUUUAACCGUACUCUCUAUUAAUUAAAAUCGGUGGUUAAGAAUUUUUAUAUUUGAGAGAGCGCUUCUUUUGCCAUGUGCACGUGAUGAAUGGUACAAACUAGUAAUUAUUUCUAACAUUGUCAUUUAUCGAUUUUGCCGAACUUGCAGAACUAUUAUAACAUUUAUUCGACGGUGCUCAAAAGAAUUUAAAGGUUAAUAUUAGCACAAAUAAAACAAAAGAUGUAGAUCCGAUCGUAGAUCUGUUCAUGAUAUGAUGCAUAUGAGUGACACGACACCGUUGUAAUGUCACAGAUCAACUUCGAUAAGGACAGCUUCUCGAAGUCGUAUUGAACCGGCUUGGUCGUCAAGUCCACCGCCGUUUCUGCCGAGGGCAACGCCCUCGCUAGCCCUCUCAUCCCCAUUCAGAAGAAACGUCGAAGAAAAAGAGGGAUGUCCCGAGCAAGAGGGCGGGAAGGGUGAGUUCUCGCAGGGGUGGGAAUUACAGACUGGUUACCGAGUCGAUUCACUCUGCCCAAGGCAGCUUGUUCUACAGGUGAAUUCGCCCUAACACAUCCUAAUCUCAUCGCAACGCAACGUCAGACAAUAGAAGCAAUAUGAUAUAAAUGUCUCGUAAACGAUAUUCACAACUUGACGAAAUUCUAAGCUGACUGAAGGAAGUAGAUAGUAUGACAAUUGAUCGAACAAUCGAUGAAUCAGAUUUAAAUUGUUUAGUAAAUUCCUUUUAUAAUUUUCUACUUUUUCCUUUAUUUUCUUUUUUUCCGUUUAAUAAUAAUAGCCAAAAAAUUAAUACGAUUGACUCACCUUCUCUUUACUUGCACCUGCAUAGAUUGCUGAGUAGAUGUUGGAGACUGGAAGGAGGUGGUCGUGGACGGUUUCAUGGUGGUAGAUCCGGUGACUGUUGAUUUCUCGGAUCUCUUCCGA